rnacentral:lncRNA from 10 species
CUCUCGUCUGGCAGGAGCCGCAAUGUUGGCUCAGUCAUUUGGAUUUAAAUUGAAGAUACCCUGUGUAACGAACUCGACCAGGAGCGGAAGGCGCGCUAUGCCAUCCAGCAGAAAUUGAAAGGGCAGCUUCUCCAGCUCCCAGUUCUGGCAGUGCAUGGUAACCUUCAGUGCCCAGCUGACAGAAGCUUCCCUCAGCAUCUUCUCUAAGUGGUGUGCCACUGGCAAGGCACCUGACCAUGAACGGCUUCCCCCAGCACCCCAUCACCUGAAGAAUUUGCAGCAAGUUUCAAG